GGAGUCGGCGAGAGUUUCACCUGGAGUUUUAAGUAAGGUAGCAUCAUUAUGAAUGCAAAGACCAAGGCAAACAAAAAUAGUGACUAAUGACAAGAACUUACCUUCAGUUUAGGAACCCCAUCCACCUUUUUUGUUGUUGUAAGUAACCAGCAGUGAAACAAUAAUCAGUGAAAAAUAAAUAUUGAAAGAAAACUAACAUUAGAGUAUACUAAAAAAUCCAGAUGCGAUUAUUAAAAAGUGAUAUGAAGGGGUAAUUGAAGACGUAUUAAAAUUCUAAGAACGAC
rnacentral:lncRNA from 1 species